GAUGAACGCUGGCGGCGUGCCUAAUACAUGCAAGUCGAGCGAACAGACGAGGAGCUUGCUCCUCUGACGUUAGCGGCGGACGGGUGAGUAACACGUGGAUAACCUACCUAUAAGACUGGGAUAACUUCGGGAAACCGGAUCUAAUACCGGAUAAUAUAUUGAACCGCAUGGUUCAAUAGUGAAAGACGGCUUUGCUGUCACUUAUAGAUGGAUCCGCGCCGCAUUAGCUAGUUGGUAAGGUAACGGCUUACCAAGGCGACGAUGCGUAGCCGACCUGAGAGGGUGAUCGGCCACACUGGAACUGAGACACGGUCCAGACUCCUACGGGAGGCAGCAGUAGGGAAUCUUCCGCAAUGGGCGAAAGCCUGACGGAGCAACGCCGCGUGAGUGAUGAAGGUCUUCGGAUCGUAAAACUCUGUUAUUAGGGAAGAACAAAUGUGUAAGUAACUAUGCACGUCUUGACGGUACCUAAUCAGAAAGCCACGGCUAACUACGUG
rnacentral:rRNA from 1 species